AGAGAAGGAGCUUGCUCCUUCGACGUUAGCGGCGGACGGGUGAGUAACACGUGGGCAACCUACCUUAUAGUUUGGGAUAACUCCGGGAAACCGGGGCUAAUACCGAAUAAUCUGUUUCACCUCAUGGUGAAACACUGAAAGACGGUUUCGGCUGUCGCUAUAGGAUGGGCCCGCGGCGCAUUAGCUAGUUGGUGAGGUAACGGCUCACCAAGGCGACGAUGCGUAGCCGACCUGAGAGGGUGAUCGGCCACACUGGGACUGAGACACGGCCCAGACUCCUACGGGAGGCAGCAGUAGGGAAUCUUCCACAAUGGGCGAAAGCCUGAUGGAGCAACGCCGCGUGAGUGAAGAAGGAUUUCGGUUCGUAAAACUCUGUUGUAAGGGAAGAACAAGUACAGUAGUAACUGGCUGUACCUUGACGGUACCUUAUUAGAAAGCCACGGCUAACUACGUGCCAGCAGCCGCGGUAAUACGUAGGUGGCAAGCGUUGUCCGGAAUUAUUGGGCGUAAAGCGCGCGCAGGUGGUUUCUUAAGUCUGAUGUGAAAGCCCACGGCUCAACCGUGGAGGGUCAUUGGAAACUGGGAGACUUGAGUGCAGAAGAGGAUAGUGGAAUUCCAAGUGUAGCGGUGAAAUGCGUAGAGAUUUGGAGGAACACCAGUGGCGAAGGCGACUAUCUGGUCUGUAACUGACACUGAG
rnacentral:rRNA from 1 species